rnacentral:rRNA from 1 species
CGGAGCCACAAGUGGGGGCCGCUAUUAUUGGGCCUAAAGCGUCCGUAGCCGGUCUGGCGAAUCUCUUGUGAAAUUGUCGGGCUCAACCCGACAGCGUGCAGGAGACACUACCAGACUAGGGACCGGGAGGAGUCAGAAGUAUUUCUGGGGGAGCGGUAAAAUGUUAUAAUCCCAGAAGGACUACCUAUGGCGAAGGCAUCUGACCAGAACGGAUCCGACGGUGAGGGACGAAAGCCAGGGGAGUAAACCGGAUUAGAUACCCGAGUAGUCC